UACCAAUCUACCAACAAUUCA
rnacentral:piRNA from 1 species